AGUAGACCGCCUGGGGAGUACGGCCGCAAGGUUAAAACUCAAAUGAAUUGACGGGGGCCCGCACAAGCGGUGGAGCAUGUGGUUUAAUUCGAUGCAACGCGAAGAACCUUACCUGGUCUUGACAUAGUGAGAAUCUCUCAGAGAUGAGAGAGUGCCUUCGGGAACUCACAUACAGGUGCUGCAUGGCUGUCGUCAGCUCGUGUCGUGAGAUGUUGGGUUAAGUCCCGCAACGAGCGCAACCCUUUUCCUUAUUUGCCAGCGGGUUAAGCCGGGAACUUUAAGGAUACUGCCAGUGACAAACUGGAGGAAGGCGGGGACGACGUCAAGUCAUCAUGGCCCUUACGACCAGGGCUACACACGUGGUCGACGCGGCCG
rnacentral:rRNA from 1 species